UUGCUUAGCCUUACGUUGCCCUUCCAAAGAUCAUCAGGAAGGCGUUGCGUAACAGAUGUCAUUGGUUAGUUAGUUGGUUGUACAGUGCAAGCAGAGAAGACAAAGACGCAGAAAAUACUAAAGCUUUUCAAGUUUAUUUCUCUUGCAAGGAAAUUUUCCAGCUAGACUCAGAACUUUUACUUUUCUUCCUUCUCUUUUUGGUAUUCUCUCAACAAUAGGCAUUCAAAUUAUGGUGUCGCUGCUUCUAUCUUUAUCAUUUUAUUGCUGCAAAUGCUAUUGCUAAUUCACUUUAUGCCGUGCAUUCUGUAGGCUCUUUUUAUUCAGUCAGUUUACGUAAUAACCACUCAUGUGUAGAGAACUCCAUGCGGCAUCAUUGUCCUAUUUGUUAUGAGUAUCUCUUUGAUUCUCUUAAGGACACAACAAUACUGAAAUGUAGGGCACACGAUGCACAAUCACGAGAUGAUAAAGCGUGACAAAUUGAAGAGACAAUCAUGCCUGAAGAUCUUAGAUACAAGAAGCUUGAUGGAGGGUCUACUUUAGAGUACAAGGAUCAUCGGAUGACAACAAUACAAAUCACCAAGCAAAUACAAAGUACUAUAAGUUUCCAUUCCGAAUAAUAAAUAUUUGAGUUACCUUGCAGGAGUAGUUAGUAUUAGUUUAGUUUGAUUGGGAUUUGAACAAUUGAUGUUUGUUAAUUGUUAUUAUGGUUAUUUGUAGUGAAGUUUGAUUUAUGAUA